CUGGGUUCAAUCCUUGGGUUAGGAAGUUCCCCUGGAGAAGGGAACAUCUGCCCACUCCAAUACAGGGCCUCCCUUGUAGCUCAGUUGGUAAAGAAUCUGCCUGCAAUGCAGGAGACCUGGGUUUGAUUCCUGCAUCAGGAAGAUCCCCUGGAGAAGGAAAUGGCAACCCACUCCAGUAUUCUUGCCUGGAGAAUCCUAUGGACAGAGGAGCCUGGCAGGCUAUGGUCCAUGGGGUUGCAAGAAUUGGAUGCAACUUAGCAACUAAACCACCAGGCAUAGGAGAGUCAGGGAAGAUGAUUACAUCUACAAUGUAAUAUAGAUGUAAUAUUGUAUGUAAGAUGUAAUAUUGUAUGUAUGAUGUAAUAUAGAUGUAAUAAAAACAGAGGAUUUCAAAUCAAGCUCUGGCAUCCUAAGACCAAAGACUCAGUGUUAUCGCUAUGAAGUAGAAAUAAAAAUAGUAGAUUUUUCUGCCAAGGAUUGAAUUAGAUGAUGCAUGUGCAAUACUUACCUUUAAGAGAGCAGAGUAGUAAGUAGUGAUUUGAAAAGGGUAAGACAUAACCCAGACAGUGGAGGACUUGUAGGACAAUGUGAAAAGUUGUUUAUGAGUGGCUCAGAUGGGACACGUAUUUCUGAGGUUUUUCAACCAGAUUUCCCCAAUGAUUUCAUUGGUAACAAGUAGAUUGGCAGACCUCUGUUCCUGUUGUCAUGCAGGCCAUUCAGGUUGGGACUGGCUGUUGGCUGUAUUCCCCAAGUAGCCUGUCUAUGCUUCUCUGUGCUGAGGGACUAUCAAUGGCCAUAGUUUGUUUUUUUAACUAGUUUAUACUUCUUCAGGCAUUGCUUCAGGUCUACAAAACAGUCUCUAUAUCUAUCCUAAAUGAUAUGAUCACGUUUUUCCCUUAGAUUCUCAUAAAAUUCCAUCUUGAGAACAUGGAGCUGGAUUCAAUCUUUUAGCUUUUUAAAGGACUCUACACCCAUCAUUGUGGAACAGCCUGCUUCUUAGAACUUUGCAAAUGAGUUAAUUUUCCCAUAAGUAGCAUUGUUUGAAAUCGAAACAAACAAGCCUACUUACACUGUAUAUGCUAAGAAACGCACUGGAAGGCUGCACAAAAACUAUUUGGAGCACUUAUUGGAGAGACAAUGGAACCAAAGGCACAGAGAAUUAGAAAAGCACCAAAUGGAAAGAAG
ensembl:lncRNA